GGGACCGUAGCUCAGACUGGGAAGGUACAUCUUCGUCUAAGGAGAGCACAUACUUAAAAAAGUAGCUCUAUACGCUGAAGACGUAGUUGUCCUGGGACGUCCAAAGGCUUUUACUUUUGGCGCAGGAAUUCAAAUCCCAGCGGUCCCA
rnacentral:tRNA from 1 species